AGUGAACGCUGGCGGUAGGCCUAACACAUGCGAGUCGAACGGCAGCACAGUAAGAGCUUGCUCUUACGGGUGGCGAGUGGCGGACGGGUGAGGAAUACAUCGGAAUCUACUUUUUCGUGGGGGAUAACGUAGGGAAACUUACGCUAAUACCGCAUACGACCUACGGGUGAAAGCAGGGGAUCUUCGGACCUUGCGCGAUUGAAUGAGCCGAUGUCGGAUUAGCUAGUUGGCGGGGUAAAGGCCCACCAAGGCGACGAUCCGUAGCUGGUCUGAGAGGAUGAUCAGACACACUGGAACGGAGACACGGUCCAGACUCCUACGGGAGGCAGCAGUGGGGAAUAUUGGACAAUGGGCGCAAGCCUGAUCCAGCCAUACCGCGUGGGUGAAGAAGGCCUUCGGGUUGUAAAGCCCUUUUGUUGGGAAAGAAAAGCAGCAGGUUAAUACCCCGCUGUUCUGACGGUACCCAAAGAAUAAGCACCGGCUAACUUCGUG
rnacentral:rRNA from 1 species